rnacentral:rRNA from 1 species
CUCCCUGACUCCUUGAGAGUCCUGAAGGAACGUUGAAGACGACGACGUUGAUAGGCCGGGUGUGUAAGCGCAGCGAUGCGUUGAGCUAACCGGUACUAAUGAACCGUGAGGCUUAACCUU